AUCGGCUGAGCGGCGGACGGCCCGACGACGGAGCGGGGCCGCGCGGUGACACACCGUGCGGCCCCGGUUCCGCGUCCGGAGGCCGUUUC
rnacentral:tRNA from 1 species